rnacentral:rRNA from 1 species
UGGGGAAUUUUGGACAAUGGGCGGAAGCCUGAUCCAGCCAUGCCGCGUGAGUGAAGAAGGCCUUCGGGUUGUAAAGCUCUUUUAGUCGGAAAGAAAGAGUUGCAAUGAAUAAUUGUGAUUUAUGACGGUACCGACAGAAAAAGCACCGGCUAACUACGUGCCAGCAGCCGCGGUAAUACGUAGGUUGCGAGCGUUAAUCGGAAUUACUGGGCGUAAAGGGUGCGCAGGCGGUCUUGCAAGUCAGAUGUGAAAGCCCCGGGCUUAACCUGGGAAUGGCGUUUGAAACUACAAGGCUAGAGUGCAGCAGAGGGGAGGGGAAUUCCAUUUGUAGCAGUGAAAUGCGUAGAGAUGUGGAAGAACACCGAUGGCGAAGGCAGCUCCCUGGGUUGACACUGACGCUCAUGCACGAAAGCGUGGGGAGCAAACA